AGAGUUUGAUCAUGGCUCAGGAUGAACGCUAGCGGCAGGCUUAAUACAUGCAAGUCGAGGGGCAGCGGGGGUAGCAAUACCUGCCGGCGACCGGCAAACGGGUGCGGAACACGUACAGAACUUUCCUCUGAGUGUGGGAUAGCCCGGAGAAAUCCGGAUUAAUACCACAUAGUAUUUUGGAGUGGCAUCACUUUAAAAUUAAAGAUUUAUCGCUUAGAGAUGGCUGUGCGGCUGAUUAGGUAGUUGGUGUAGGUAACGGCUCACCAAGCCAACGAUCAGUAACUGGUGUGAGAGCACGACCAGUCACACGGGCACUGAGACACGGGCCCGACUCCUACGGGAGGCAGCAGUAAGGAAUAUUGGUCAAUGGAGGCAACUCUGAACCAGCCAUGCCGCGUGAAGGAUGAAUGCCCUCUGGGUUGUAAACUUCUUUUAUCUGGGACGAAACACUCUUAUUCUUAAGAGCUUGACGGUACCAGAGGAAUAAGCACCGGCUAACUCCGUGCCAGCAGCCGCGGUAAUACGGAGGGUGCAAGCGUUAUCCGGAUUCACUGGGUUUAAAGGGUGCGUAGGUGGGUUGGUAAGUCAGUGGUGAAAUCUCCGUGCUUAACAUGGAAACUGCCAUUGAUACUACUGGUCUUGAAUUUUCUGGAGGAUAGCGGAAUAUGUCUGUAGCGGUGAAAUGCUUAGAUAUGACAUAGAACACCAAUUGCGAAGGCAGCUAUCUACAGGGAUAUUGACACUGAGGCACGAAAGCGUGGGGAUCAAACAGGAUUAGAUACCCUAGUAGUCC
rnacentral:rRNA from 1 species